rnacentral:lncRNA from 1 species
CAGUGCUGUGAACUCCUGGGGUCUCCUCUGGCCCAGGCAGCUUCUCAAGCCAGCCACCCUGAGGGAAAACAAAGAAUGUCUAGAGACAGACAUGGCCAGGACAGCUCUAAGACCCAGAGCUGCUCCACCUUCUACAGUUCAGAAAGGAGAAUGAAAGAAAAUGUUAAGAGAGGCUUCCUGGCUCCAUCUUCCCUGGAUGGCAGGCAUUUUUUUUUUUUUUAACUUCUAAAACUCCUGUUUAUUUCCUUGUGUCAACAGUCAGCACACGUGGACCCCCAGAGGCAUUUAACAGAGGCACACUGAAUAAAGAAUUCUGAGGCAUUUAGGGAGACUCUCUCCUCACCCACCAGGGACUCGCUGAACAUGGUAUAACAGUUGCAAUAAAUGGGGGGAUCCCUGCGUGGCUCAGCAGUUUAGCGCCUACCUUCGGCCCAGGGCAUGAUCCUGAAGUCCUGGGAUCAAGUCCCACGUCAGGCUCCCUGCAUGGAGCCUGCUUCUCCCUCUGCCUGUGUCUCUGCCUCUCUGUGUCUCUCUGAAAUAAAUAAAAUCUUAAAACAAAAAAAAAAAAAACAGUUGCUAUAAAUGAUUCAAAAGCAAGGAGAGUGGAAAUGUCUCCUUCAGCCUCCUAAGCUGUGACCCAGGGAUGAGAAAAUUUCUGAUGGAGGCAAGUGGAUUGAAGAAACUCUCCUUAAAGUUUAGAACCCUUUGGAACCAUUCUUCAUUAGCCCCUAUCCUGAGGAAUAAUGUUUCUUCCAACCUAAUCUUGUUAAUCAAUAUUACCAGCAGGAGGCAAUGGCUCAGAACACCUCCAAACACCACCCCUCAAUCACUAACGUUUGGCUUUUUUUUUUUUUGUUGUUUUCAAUUUGCUUCAUUUUUCCCCAUAACACUUCCUAACAUGCUAUGUCUUCCAGUUAUUUAUUUUUCUUUUAUUGUCUGCCUCCCUCCAUUGAGCUACAAAUUCCAUGAGGAUAGUAGGAACUCAAUCCAUUUCUGCUGAAUGAAUGAAUGAUGCAUUCUGCUGCCAUCCAGUGGGACUCUCCAUGUCACCUGUAACUUUAUCUCAGUCUCUGGCCACAUCUAAGUUCAUCCAGACUCACUGGCCUCAGCUCUGCCCCUUCCUCCCCUUGGUCACUGCUACCACCACCAUUUUUAUUUUGCCCAGUGACCCAUGAAUUAGCCUCCUAAAUCGUCUCCCUGCCUUAGCCCUUCCCUUGGUAUAUUUUAAAUUGUGAACUCAUGUGAACUCCUAAAAAUAUCACUUGGAUAAUGUAUCUCCUCGCCCCCCACCAAAAUAAUAAAAAUAAAUAAAUAAAAAGGAAGUGACCGCAAAUGGCUCUAAAAAACAAGAUUAUAACUUCUUCUUUGGACCUCUCUCUUUUCUUUUUUUCUAAUUUUUCUACAUGAAAGGUAUCCUCUUUUUUUUAGAAAAGGUUAUUGAAGAGAAACCCCUAAAAUGGUUCCCUCAUGCCACAGCAUGGAGAGCCUGCCCUCACCUGCCCUGCAUGCCCUCACCUGCCCUGCCGGCCUCCCCCUUCCAGGCACUGACGACACUGAACUCUGACCUGAACCUCAGGGACAGAGUCUCCCUCAGCUCUCAUGAAAGGAAACCAGAUGGGUCAGGACAAUACCAAGGGCAUGGGGGGCAGCAGACAGGCAGAUGGAAGCCAUAUGUUGGAGUCACACAUCUGACCAAGCAAGAACCCCCAAAGGCAAACACUUGAGGUCUCAGUUACAUUACUCACUCCUGCUUUCUGAAACUCUUUCUUCUCACUCCAUUAGACUUCAUUUGAAUUUGGAGCCUUGUGCUGAUUUUUCUCAUUGCUUACUUUUUUAAUGCCAGUAUGGUUAUUGUGCUUUCCUACUCAAUAAACCAUAAGAAAUCUAAAAUGCAAGCCCUCCUCUGAGGAUAAACGCAAUUGAUUUUUUAUUCCAUUUGGAUUCACCAGAAACAACUGCCUUUUAACACUCAUCUGAACUCCUACCUAAUUAUUUUUAG